rnacentral:lncRNA from 1 species
UUUCAAAAUAUUUCCUAAUUCUAUUUGCUGUGCCUGACUGUUUCUACAUCUUUCCCUCCUGAGUCUGGUUCAUGGGAGUUGUGAGGAAUCUGUGAAAAAACCUCGUCUGUUCUUUGUGCCACCCUUUUGCCACUACAGCCCAGCCUUCCAGGCCUGCUGCAAAGGUCAGCCCUGACUUGGCAGAGGAAGAGCAAGGGUCAGAAAACCGGGAUGGGGAAGGACUUAUUGAAGAACACGUGCAACCUGAUGAACCAGCUCCUCUGCAAAGUGGUGAGAGAAGGCUGAGGGCAUGGGACCAUGGACCACUGGAGUUGCUCCUCAAAGCUGGUACAUCAGCCUGUGAACACCUUUCCUCUAAACUGGGUGGGAGGAAAGCAGGGCAGAACUGAUCCUUAAAAAGCAACAGCUGUGCCUGGUGAAGAUGCCAUUGGGUCCUGUGGUUGGGUACAGAUGAUCCAAGCAGAUUGUGCUCUCCCUGAGGUACGAUGAGGUAGGGAGAGAGAUAACAAGAUGAGCAGAGUAUAGUAGUAGUAUAGUAGAGUAAUAGGAAAGUAAAAUUUCUUUUUGGAAAUGUGCCUUUUUGUUUAUUUGUUUGGUUUGCUUUGCUUUGUUUUCUAAUAAACCCACAUUAGUCAACUUGAGUGUAUUAUCCCUCCUUACAGCUUUUGCUGCUGGAAUAGUAAGCUGCCAAAGCAGAAGCUGUCGCACUAAUGAUAAUUUGACCUGUUAAAUUUCUCCAAAAUAAG